rnacentral:rRNA from 1 species
UACGUAGGGAGCAAGCGUUGUCCGGAUUUACUGGGUGUAAAGGGUGCGUAGGCGGCUUUGCAAGUCAGAUGUGAAAUCUAUGGGCUCAACCCAUAGCCUGCAUUUGAAACUGCAGAGCUUGAGUGAAGUAGAGGCAGGCGGAAUUCCCCGUGUAGCGGUGAAAUGCGUAGAGAUGGGGAGGAACACCAGUGGCGAAGGCGGUCUGCUGGGCUUUAACUGACGCUGAGGCACGAAAGCGUGGGUAGCAAACAGG